GUGGGGAAUAUUGGACAAUGGGCGAAAGCCUGAUCCAGCCAUGCCGCGUGUGUGAAGAAGGUCUUCGGAUUGUAAAGCACUUUAAGUUGGGAGGAAGGGCAGUAAGUUAAUACCUUGCUGUUUUGACGUUACCGACAGAAUAAGCACCGGCUAACUUCGUGCCAGCAGCCGCGGUAAUACGAAGGGUGCAAGCGUUAAUCGGAAUUACUGGGCGUAAAGCGCGCGUAGGUGGUUUUGUAAGUUGGAGGUGAAAUCCCCGGGCUCAACCUGGGAACUGCCUCCAAAAAUGCAUGAAUAGAGUACGGUAGAGGGUAGUGGAAUUUCCUGUGUAGCGGUGAAAUGCGUAGAUAUAGGAAGGAACACCAGUGGCGAAGGCGACUACCUGGACUGAUACUGACACUGAGGUGCGAAAGCGUGGGGAGCAAACAGGAUUAGAAACCCCAGUAGUCC
rnacentral:rRNA from 1 species